rnacentral:tRNA from 1 species
CUAAGGAAGCUGUGGAAUUGGUAAGACGCUGAGACAUGUCUCAGAUGAACCUUCCCGUGCUUUUUAGAACAUAGAUCGGAUCAGUCAGAUCACGAUCGAAACGCAAUACACCGCGUAGACUACGGUCACGACGGUAUGGCGAGCUUUCGCCGUCCACGUUUCUCUUUCUUCAAGAAGACAAAAACCGCGUCGACCGGUUCCCCGAAUGGGCCCGUAGCUCAGUUGGUUAGAGCACACGCUUGAUAAGCGUGGGGUCGGAAGUUCAAGUCUUCCCGGGCCCACCAUUUGCUUAUGCAAAUGAGGGUUUGGGAUGAUGGAAUGAGGCUGAUGCGGAACGUUGCCGAACCUGGAUUUAUCCGGGCGAUCGAGCUGAUGGGGCUGUAGCUCAGCUGGGAGAGCACCUGCUUUGCAAGCAGGGGGUCAGCGGUUCGAUCCCGCUCAGCUCCACCAAAUCGAUUGGUGUUGAGACUGACGGCGAUGAUGUCUUCUGAAGAAAAACCAAGUUUGCACGACGCAAUGAGCGUCUGUGCCUGUUCUGCAUAUAUCGUGAAGAGAAGAUUGAUCUGGAGGCUUCCAGGUGUUUUGGACUUAUGUCCGGAACGUCCGAGCCCAGUUCUUAUGAAACCAUGGAUGGCCUAGCCGGCCGGAUAUGGUGGAGGGACUGGAGGUAGGUAGGAAGCUUGUCGCUCUGGGUCGUUGUUGUUUGUCAUCUCUAGGGAUGACAUCUGACGGACGACUGGAUUGCCGUUGCCUGACCGCGCGGUAUCGGAUCAAAUCUCGAGAAGCUGGUCUUAAGACCUGACACAAGCGAGCUGCUCGGCGUAGCUCCAAUAAAGUGAUCAGGUCGAACACGUCGAUGGCAUUGUUGGAUUGACUGGGUUGUAAAAGGUAACCCGGUCUGUUGCUGUUUCUUUGAAACAGGCAACGAGAUGAUGAGCAUUGGCAAUGAGAAC